GAUGCCUACAUGAUUUCUUUACAGAAAGUGGAUGUACUUCUCAGUAGGUUUAAGCAAACCGAAAUCAACUAGCCACCAAUGCGCGCACUCGAAUACGUAUCCAAUGAUGUCAUUUUAGAUAUGUCUCGAUUAAGCAUCCGAUUCAGCACCAUCUCCCAACAGGCCACCAGUCCAUUUUUAUUCCCUUCGCUCAUGUGCAAUCACAUCUCUGUUCACCUUAUAUCUGCUUCUGUAGGAUUCUAAUUCCGUGUUACAAUUACGAGCUUCGACUAUAAAUUGGUUGAAUCGUAGUAGAGCUAACACUUGAGUCCAGACGGGAAGCAAAUACUUUAGUGUAUAAGAUUAACAAAAUCGAAAUGGCAUCACUCAAGGCCGAGAAACCCGUUGGCACUCAACCCUCUGCCGGGCAAGCCAAGAAAGAGCCUGCACAGAAAGCUAGUGGUACCACGCCCAAAGCUCCGGCCUCCAAACCCGCCCCUAAGAAGGCUGAGACAAAGCCUAGGGAACCUAGGAAGAAGACAACAGGAAGCAAGCCUGCAGCCAAGAAUUAGACUAAAGCAACGGCGUUAGGCGAGGAGUGCAUGAAGAUUCUAAAUCACUGUGGUCUUCCAUAGUUCAUAUAUUCUGAUAAUACUAUGUAUCUCCUUUUAGGCUUGGCCUAAUAAAUAAAAUAUACCGUUAUUUUAGAGGAA